rnacentral:lncRNA from 1 species
UUACAAUAUGGCAUUAUUUACAACUCAAUGGUGAUUGACUGAUUGCUUUGAUAGUUGAUUGAGAGCGUAAAGAUUUGGCAAUUGGCAGAAUUAUAGAGCAUGGAAGAGAGCUUAAGAUCAAAUAAUUACUGACCUUGAUGUUGAUGAGUUGAUGGAUCGGAUGGAUUGGAAGCUAGGCAGAGAUGGAAGUGAGUCAAGAGACGGCAGCUAGUUUGGAAGCGAACGGCACAGGGUGAACGGCUGCGGGCUGCGAGCGUCGGCAGUGUGGGAGUGAGUCAGCCGCGAGCGCGAGGUGAACGGCUUUGGGCUGCGAGCGUGUAGAGGGCGUGCUGAGGGCGAGCGUGAAUUAACUACGAAAAGUGAAUUAACUACGAAAAGUGAAUUAACUACGAUGCUGAGUGGGGCCUUCUACGAUGAUAGGCGUGUCGUCUGUCUGAACGCAAUCUUAAACCGUCGGUGAAACGUAAAGCUAAUCGUACGGCUGCGGCACGGGUACCUUCCCAUAUCAGAAAGAUUUUGCAAAUUUGAUGAAGUGGACCGGUCAAAAUAUGGGCCGUGUGGGGCCGACGGCCAUGGUGUUUGCGAUUAGAGCUGGUAAAAUUUGACACGACCCGAUUACCCGACACGAACACGACAUAAAUAAAUGGGUAUGGGUCGUCAAAUUUAACACGAUUAUUAAAUAGGUCGGGUCCAGGUCAACACGAUUUUUUUUC